rnacentral:rRNA from 1 species
GUCUACGGCCAUACCACCCUGAACACGUGUGAUCUCCUCUGAUCUCAGAAGCUAAGCAGGGUCGGGCCUGGUUAGUACUUGGAUGGGACUGCCUGGGAAUACCGGGUGCUGUAGGCU